rnacentral:rRNA from 1 species
AUGAACCGUGCAAGAAGAGGAGGGAGAUCAUUUUCCCUCUGGUUAUGUGCAGUGGUUUGUCUCAUGGCUCAGCCGGGAGCUUGCAGUGUGGUGCUGAUGGCGAAUAACACAACCUUGUCUUUCAGUGAUGUCGAGGCAACAUUUACUCCAGAAGUGAAAGGUUCAGGUUUAAACGGUGUAAUUUACACCGUCGAACCUCUUGAUGCUUGCAGUCCUCUGACAAAGAAAGCAGUCGAAGGGCCUGCAUCACCAUUUGCGUUGAUUUUAAGAGGCGGCUGCCAAUUUGAUGAUAAAGUCAGAAAUGCUCAGGAUGCCGGAUUCAAGGCUGUGAUAGUAUAUGAUAACAAAGACCACGGUGUCCUUGUUUCAAUGGCUGGAAGCUCAUCCGGUAUCGACAUAUAUGCGGUCUUCAUCUCUAAGACGUCAGGAGAGGUGUUGAAACUAUAUUCAGGUCAAAGUGAUGCUCAGGUGUGGAUAAUAUCAACGCGUGAUAACUCAGCUUUGUCAAUCAUGGCAAUAUCUUUCACAGCACUGCUUGCUAUGUCUGCUGUUCUGGCCACUUGUUUCUUUGUGAGAAGACACCAGAUGAGAAGGGACAGGGCUCGAAUACCUGCAGCACGAGAAUUUCAUGGAAUGAGCAGUCAGUUAGUCAAGGCAAUGCCGAGUCUUAUUUUUACAAAAGUCCAGGAAGACAAUUGUACUUCGUCAACAUGCGCCAUUUGCUUGGAAGACUACAGUGUUGGUGAAAAGAUAAGGGUGCUGCCUUGUCGUCACAAGUUCCAUGCUGCUUGCGUGGACCUGUGGCUCACAUCAUGGAGGACAUUCUGCCCUGUAUGCAAGCGAGAUGCAAAUGCUGGAAUGUCAAAUCUCCCUCCAUCAGAGUCUACCCCUUUGCUUUCUUCUGCUAUUCCCUUACCAGCUGAAUUGACAGCUUUGUCUUCUUUUCGUUCAAUGGUAGCAGCAUCUCCUCCAAGGACAAUAAGCCGGCAUCCUUCAUGGCAGUCCAUGUCCCGCACUAACUCCAAUUCCAGUAUCCUCCACACCCGUAACCCAUGCAGAUGUUUUUCCAACUCACCUGCUAUCAGUACAAGUAGGAGCAGUGUAGACCUUGCAAACAUGUCAUCGCCAUGGUCUAACACUCCGCACCUUGCAUCCGCGCACUCCCUGGGUGGAGGGCAUUUUUCUCCGCCGAUCAGCAUCGGAUACACAUCACCACAUGUCUCCCCUUUCGGCUACAGAUUCUCUGGACAGUUUAUAGGUUCACCCCACAUCCCCCGUUCUGAGAACGGGUCUCCAAGUUAUUAUCCUGGCUCUUCAGGGCAGCAGUACCCUUACCUGAGGCAUCGCACAGAGUCAGGGCCAAGCUUAUUUACCAUGGUGCCCCAGUCGCCACAACAGAUCCUGCUGCAGGAUGGUGGCGACUCGGCAACGAGUCUAUCAGCUUCAGCAUCGACCCAGUCGCUCCGUCAGGCCUACCUGCAGCAUUGCCCUGAUUCUGAUGUGAGCUUAUCUGCUGCAACAUCGGCUCAGUCGCUGCCAGGGUGCUGA